AUUAGAAGGUCCUCCUCUCCUGCUGGUGCUGGUUUCUUCUUUGUGGCAAAGAAGGAGGGUGAUUUGAUGUAUAGACUACAGGGGUCUGAACAAUAUAACGGUUAAAAACGCCUACCCUAUCCCCCUCGUCACUGAGUUGUUUGAUCGUGUUAAAGGUUCUAAAUUCUUCACCAAAUUAGACCUCAGGGGGGCUUAUAACCUUGUCCGUAUAAAGGAGAAUGACGAGUGGAAGACAGCGUUCAAC